rnacentral:tRNA from 1 species
AAGAGCGUAGCUCAACUGGUUAGAGCGUCGUAUUCCAAAUACGAAGGUUGUCGAAUCAUUCUCGGCCGCUCUUG